rnacentral:rRNA from 1 species
GACGGGGGGGGCAAGUGUUCUUCGGAAUGACUGGGCGUAAAGGGCGCGUAGGCGGGAUGGCAAGUCGGUCGUGAAAUCUCUCGGCUCAACCGAGAAACGUCGGCCGAUACUGCCGUUCUUGAGGGAUGCAGAGGAGACUGGAAUUCCCGGUGUAGCGGUGAAAUGUGUAGAGAUCGGGAGGAACACCGGUGGCGAAGGCGGGUCUCUGGGCAUUUCCUGACGCUGAGGCGCGAAAGCCAGGGGAGCAAACGGG